GUAUCAGAUAAACACCCAUUUUACUGUGGAUUUACAUCCUCAUUGUGGCGACUUCAUUGCUAUUUGAAGGCAUGUAGGCUUCAUUUUUUUAAUUCUGAAACUUACAUUUUUUAACUUAGGAAUUUGAACUCAACCUCAAUUCUAAAAUUCUUAUAAGAGGCAAAUGUGGACUGGCUGGCUGCUGAUGUCUGUCCUGACAAAGGAGAGGUGCCCGAUGAGCUCCCAGUCAUGUGGUUCAGGGCGGGCUCUGGAAGACUCACAGAGGAGACUCCUCCGAGAAACCAAGAAGGUUUCUGUCCAAGUCGGGAUCUGCUCUGCUCAGGAUGCUCCUCCAACACACACAGUGAAAAACUGAGCACCUAGAGAGCAACACCAAAAACCCAUGGCCAAUAAUGGAGAGCCAAAUCAGGAGAGCAUUCAGCAAAGCAAUUCUUGCUGUAGAAGGAACAGCACAAAAAGCUGGAAGGAAACUGAGGCAUGCGUGAAAGAUAACUUGUCAGUGUUUGCAGUCUACUGAGAUCCCCGCUGCAAGAAAAGGCAGGAUUUCCACUUGCUUCUUGGCCCGCCUCUGUUGUCCAGAAUCCAGGACAGGUGACAAGAGAAGCAGAUGUGAUCUGCACAAGCUGGCUCAGCUGGGUUGGGAGUUGCUCUUCCUGGACAGGCCGGGAAGGGUGCUGGAGGGGAGGGAGGAGGAGAGAGGUUUUAGGGGAGGGGUGCUGAGCAGUCAGGGACCUGUAAGGUCACAUUUCUUUCAGGUAUUCUUUCUAGGUGUACUGAAUGGGAACAUUGUCUGUCAUCCCUAGACUGCAUUAAAGACCUAAACUGCUUCCAUUUA
ensembl:lncRNA LINC02937 long intergenic non-protein coding RNA 2937